CGCCUAACACAUGCAAGUCGAACGAAGUAGCAAUACUUAGUGGCAGACGGGUGAGUAACAUGUAGGUAUCUACCCUAUGGUUUGGAAUAACACGAGGAAACUUGUGCUAAUACCAAAUAAGUCUUUACGGAGAAAGCUUUAUGCGCCAUUGGAUGAGCCUGCACUUGAUUAGUUUGUUGGUGGGGUAAUGGCCUACCAAGACAAUGAUCAAUAGCUGAUUUGAGAGGAUGAUCAGCCACAUUGGGACUGAGACACGGCCCAAACUCCUACGGGAGGCAGCAGUGGGGAAUCUUGCACAAUGGGGGAAACCCUGAUGCAGCGAUGCCGCGUGAGUGAAGAAGGCCUUUGGGUUGUAAAGCUCUUUCGUCGGGGAAGAAAAUGACUGUACCCGAAUAAGAAGGUCCGGCUAACUUCGUGCCAGCAGCCGCGGUAAUACGAAGGGACCUAGCGUAGUUCGGAAUUACUGGGCUUAAAGAGUUCGUAGGUGGUUAAAAAAGUUGGUGGUGAAAUCCCAGAGCUUAACUCUGGAACUGCCAUCAAAACUUUUUAGCUAGAGUAUGAUAGAGGAAAGUAGAAUUUCUAGUGUAGAGGUGAAAUUCGUAGAUAUUAGAAAGAAUACCAAUUGCGAAGGCAGCUUUCUGGAUCAUUACUGACACUGAGGAACGAAAGCAUGGGUAGCGAAGAGGAUUAGAUACCCUCGUAGUCCAUGCCGUAAACGAUGUGUGUUAGACGUUGGAAAUUUAUUUUCAGUGUCGCAGCGAAAGCAGUAAACACACCGCCUGGGGAGUACGACC
rnacentral:rRNA from 1 species